rnacentral:rRNA from 1 species
CCUACGGGAGGCAGCAGUGGGGGAUAUUGCACAAUGGGGGGAACCCUGAUGCAGCGACGCCGCGUGGGUGAAGAAGCGCCUCGGCGCGUAAAGCUCUGUCAGCAGGGAAGAAAAUGACGGUACCUGAAGAAGAAGCCCCGGCUAACUACGUGCCAGCAGCCGCGGGAAUACGUAGGGGGCAAGCGUUAUCCGGAUUGACUGGGUGUAAAGGGGGCGCAGGCGGCGAUGCAAGCCAGGAGUGAAAGCCCGGGGCCCAACCCCGGGACUGCUCGUGGAACUGCGUGGCUGGAGUGCAGGAGGGGCAGGCGGAAUUCCUGGUGUAGCGGUGAAAUGCGUAGAUAUCAGGAGGAACACCGGUGGCGAAGGCGGCCUGCUGGACUGCAACUGACGUUGAGGCCCGAAAGCGUGGGGAGCAAACAGGAUUAGAUACCCCAGUAGUC